AAAAAGGUGUUGGUUCAUGAUAACAGUUGGACGAUAUUCAUGGAAGUUGAAAUUCGCUAAGGAGUGUGUAAUAACUCACCUUCCGAGUGAACUUGCCCUUAUAAUGGAUGGCGCUAAA
rnacentral:ncRNA from 1 species